ACGGCCAUACCUGACGCUGAUAUAAACGCUUACUGGACGAAGUUUGACAUGACCAAAGACUACAAGAAGUGUUUACUAUCGGCACACUACAAUAUGGACAACCAGACGCAAUGGUCUUUUCUGGAGGAUAAAGGGCUGCUUCACCUCGAUGCUCGGCUGUAUGGAUUUCCGACUUUUGUCGAGAGCACGACCGACUACCAUCGUUUUUACGACUCCAUCACCUAAAUACCAGUACCUAGAAAUAUAUCCUGCAGGACAGGAAGGAAUUAUAAACUAAUAACCAUUCGAUAUCAUGUAAUAUGACAAUCUCUUUUCAUAUAUGCAUGUUCUACUAUCUAGCUGUUGAAAUCAUUGUAGUUAUACGACUUGGUUUUUAUGUUAAGUACCACAUAAUAUAUAAACCGUUUAGACGUGUAAUUAUUCGCUGGGACGUUGUUCUAUUACCCAUUUGAUUUCAUAUCUGUAAAAGUUCUUAUUUCAAAAGUAAAUGCAACUGUCAUUUAUUUAACGAAGUAUUUAAAUUGUAUAAGCGCAUGUUUAGCAUAUGUGAUUGAUUUAAGAUUCUUAUUCAACUGUUAAACUGCAGUUUUACAUAUAACUACGACCAUACAUUUAUGUCUACAUACUAAUACUUUAUUAUCAUUAUUGUCAUCAUGAACGAAAUUAUGUUAUUUGUGUGUUAAUAUGAACGUUGUUAACAAGAGAUCACACAGGAUCUUGCCGACUACGUAUGUUUAUUGAUUCUAUCUUGAUAUAAGUCUGAUAUUGACUUUAAUCAUCUUAUGUUUCUUUCUUCUUUAUAAUCAAUAUUUGUCCAUCAACAUGUGGUAUUCACAAAAUAAUUCUGUGUUUUUCUUCCAAUUAGUCGUAUAAUUGAACAUGCACAUCUAGAUACCAAAGAAGCCUACAAAUAAAUGUGCAUAGUCUUGAAAACAAAGAGAAAAAGCAAUUAAGUAAAACUUCAACUGUCAAAUCAAAGAUGGUCACGUGUCUGUCAUUAGUUUCAUUAUUUAUAUGGAAUAUUUCUUGGAAAAACACCGGGAGAUAAUCGACUUUUAAAAAAGUAAUCCUUACUCAAAAUCGAUAAAAACGGCAAAAUAUUAACCAAAUAGACGUAGACUUGUAAGAGUACAAGGAGAAUAAAACCAGGUGAGCUCCAGUAGAGUAAGCGUUCUAAGCUUCAUCGACGUCACCAACAAUAUACUCAUCCUCAAAAUGAGAAACGGGGUGGUGAUCACGUAACCAGCAGACUAGACGUACCAUCGAGUAUAUAUAACACGUCUAACUUCAUUCAAUGAUUUAUUACAACAGAUAUAUACCGACUCAAUUAUAUUUAUCUCGAUUUUUAGGAUUAAUUUCCCGGAAUUCACAAGUGACGAAUUGUAUGGAUGAUGCACUCAUUCUGUACUGCUAUAGCUAAGUAAAGACUGGUGUAUAAUGCGUCCAUGGUAAAGACAAAUGUCAGGGAAUGCAAAACACGACACUUUUCAAACAAUGUUUGAUUAACCAGCAGGAUACACUGUAUCGGUUAUUCGGACGAUAUAUAAAUCUAUCACAUUUAAAUGCGUCUUAUUUAAUAUUUUUUGUAUUUGGCUAUAAUCAUGUACAUUGUUCACACAUUAACUAGUUCCACGUUACGAAAUUACUUGGUUAUUCUUUCUGAGCAAACAUAAAACGAGAUAGAUCGGUAUGAACAGAACAGCAAGCAUAAAACCGACGAGUGUCGAGUGUCGAGUUUCCUCUUUAUCAAAAGGCCACAUUACUCUUUUAUUUCUUUUGAUAAAUACAUAUUACUUUUUUGUUUUGUAUAUAUUAUUAUUUUUCCUUAAUGAAAUAAGAACAUUCUUACCAGUUC